CCUACGGGAGGCUGCAGUGGGGAAUAUUGCACAAUGGGCGCAAGCCUGAUGCAGCCAUGCCGCGUGUGUGAAGAAGGCCUUCGGGUUGUAAAGCACUUUCAGCGGGGAGGAAGGCGUUAAGGUUAAUAACCUUGUCGAUUGACGUUACCCGCAGAAGAAGCACCGGCUAACUCCGUGCCAGCAGCCGCGGUAAUACGGAGGGUGCAAGCGUUAAUCGGAAUUACUGGGCGUAAAGCGCACGCAGGCGGUCUGUCAAGUCGGAUGUGAAAUCCCCGGGCUCAACCUGGGAACUGCACUCGAAACUGGCAGGCUAGAGUCUUGUAGAGGGGGGUAGAAUUCCAGGUGUAGCGGUGAAAUGCGUAGAGAUCUGGAGGAAUACCGGUGGCGAAGGCGGCCCCCUGGACAAAGACUGACGCUCAGGUGCGAAAGCGUGGGGAGCAAACAGGAUUAGAUACCCCAGUAGUC
rnacentral:rRNA from 1 species